AUAGUCAAGGUAAAGGGUUAUUUUCACUCAACCUCUCCUCCCUUUUCUCAACAGCCAGCAAAUCAACGAUCCAAAUCAAUAACAACCCCACCGACAAUGCUAGCAUCAGUCAAUCUCUUGACUUCCUCACUUUCCUUUUAUACCCUUCAAACCCACCGACAAAACCCAAAAUCACAUAACUUCAUAAAGGGCAUUUUCGUCUUUCAAUAUUUGGUAUACCUACCUACUUCCACAGAUACUUCCAAAUCUAUUAGCAGAAAUAUUCUCCCGCGAGUAGCCGUAACCACCGUAGUCGGGUCGGGUUAG